rnacentral:lncRNA from 10 species
UAGAGUUUCCAAGUGUGGCUUCCUAGGCCUUUUGGGCCUGCUCUUCUUCCAUUGCCUUCCCCACCUGGGCUCCCUCUAUCUCAAGAUUAGGGUUCCUCCCAGGGCCCCCUGGAGGCCAGCUUUCAUUUUCAUCUUGAGCAGCCGUGGAAAAUUAAGGACUCAACCACUUUAAUUUUGGGGUCUUAGUAAUUAUCUGACACCACCCACUCAACUCUACCCACUAGUUAUUACAAUAAUAACAAUAAUAAUUUAGAGAAGCGAUGGCAAUGAUCACAGCGUUUACAGAAUCCGGGACUGGGCGGAGAUAGAUAUAGCCUCACACUUCCUUUUUCUAUCAGUGUGGUACUAGUUUUGGGAGUAAGGACUGUUGGAGUCUAGUCAGUUCUGGCAAGGAUGCCAUAUAUCACAUGACUGAAUGUGCCCCUAAAUGCCUGUGUACCUUCAUUUCCCCCUCUGUAAAAUGUGGGAAAAAGUCUUGCAAGACGAUGUGCUUUCAGCUUCCUGAAAUAAAGUCAUGAUAAGCAAC